rnacentral:rRNA from 1 species
UACGGAGGGUGCGAGCGUUGUCCGGAAUCACUGGGCGUAAAGGGCGCGUAGGUGGCCGAGCAAGGUCGCGGUGAAAGCCCGGGGCUCAACCCCGGGUCGGCCGUGGCAACUACUGGGCUGGAGCACUGUAGGGGCGGGUGGAAUUCCGGGUGUAGCGGUGGAAUGCGUAGAGAUCCGGAAGAACACCGGUGGCGAAGGCGGCCCGCUGGGCAGUUGCUGACACUGAGGCGCGACAGCGUGGGGAGCAAACAGG